UUGUGCUAACAGAAGCUACUAGCAGCUAUAUGCUAAAUGAAGCUCGCAGCUCAAAGAUGCUAACUGAAUCUAAUUGCUAAGAUAAACUACCGGCCUACACACACGAUAUUUACGAGGCGAGGCUAACAGAAGCUAACGGCUAACACAAUCUCAUGGCCAAAAGAAGCUAACGACCUAUGCUAACGGCUAAUGAGCUAACAACAAACCUCUGAGGUAUCAGGACCUGGAUACCACGCCUCCACUCCACCAUCACCUCUGCACAGACUCUGACUCUAAAUGACGUCAUCAGCACAAGAUGGAGGCGCUAGAAUUCAACAUAUUUUGGCUUGAUACCAGUGGGAGGAAGAUGUGUCGUCUGAGGUUCAGCUUCUGUAUGAAAACAUGAUGUAAACAAUCACUUAUACAUAGUUUGUAAUAACACA